UACGGAGGGGGCAAGCGUUAAUCGGAAUUACUGGGCGUAAAGCGCACGCAGGCGGUUUGUUAAGUCAGAUGUGAAAUCCCACGGCUCAACCUUGGAACUGCAUCUGAUACUGGCAAACUUGAGUCUCGUAGAGGAGGGUAGAAUUCCAGGUGUAGCGGUGAAAUGCGCAGAGAUCUGGAGGAAUACCAGUGGCGAAGGCGGCCGCCUGGACUGAGACUGACGCUGAGGUGCGAAAGCGUGGGGAUCAAACAGG
rnacentral:rRNA from 1 species